rnacentral:rRNA from 1 species
CCUGGGGAGUGCGGUCGCAAGAUUAAAACUCAAAGGAAUAGACGGGGACCCGCACAAGUGGUGGAGCAUGUGGUUUAAUUCGAAGAUACGCGAAGAACCUUACCUAGCCUUGACAUAUUAAAGAACACUUUAGAGAUAGAGUGGUGCCUUCGGGAGCUUUUAUACAGGUGCUGCACGGCUGUCGUCAGCUCGUGUCGUGAGAUGUUGGGUUAAGUCCCGCAACGAGCGCAACCCUCGUCACUAGUUACUAACGGUUCGGCCGAGGACUCUAGUGAGACUGCCUUCGUAAGGAGGAGGAAGGUGAGGACGACGUCAAGUCAUCAUGGCCCUUACGGCUAGGGCAACACACGUGCUACAAUGGCCAGGACAAUGAGAAGCGAUACCGUGAGGUGGAGCAAAUCUAUAAACCUGGUCUCAGUUCGGAUUGUAGUCUGCAACUCGACUACAUGAAGCUGGAAUCACUAGUAAUCGUAGAUUAGCUAUGCUACGGUGAAUACGUUCCCGGGUCUUGUACACACCGCCCGU